rnacentral:rRNA from 1 species
UACAGAGGUCCCAAGCGUUGUUCGGAUUCACUGGGCGUAAAGGGUGCGUAGGUGGCCAGGUAAGUCUGAUGUGAAAUCUCGGAGCUCAACUCCGAAACUGCAUUGGAUACUAUCUGGCUGGAGGGUCGGAGGGGGGACUGGAAUUCUCGGUGUAGCAGUGAAAUGCGUAGAUAUCGAGAGGAACACCAGUGGCGAAGGCGAGUCUCUGGACGACUCCUGACACUGAGGCACGAAAGCUAGGGGAGCAAACAGG